UGGUCAAGUUAUUAAGGGUGCAGGGCGGAUGCCUUGGCACUAGGAGCCGAUGAAGGACGUGAUAAGCUGCGAUAAGCUUCGGGGAGUUGCACGUAAACUUUGAUCCGAAGAUUUCCGAAUGAGGAAACUCACUUAGAGUAAUGUCUAAGUAUCAUUAAGUGAAUACAUAGCUUAAUGA
rnacentral:rRNA from 1 species